rfam:Triticum urartu cultivar G1812 contig148851, whole genome shotgun sequence.
GUAGUACUCUCUUCGUUCCGAAUUAUUUGUUUUAGAUUUGUUUAGAUACGAAAGUAUUUAACACUAAAAUAAGUCUAGAUACGUCCGUAUCUAAACAAAUCCAAGACAAAUAAUUUAAAACGAAGGGAGUACGUA